rnacentral:rRNA from 1 species
GACGAACGCUGGCGGCGUGCUUAACACAUGCAAGUCGAACGGAAAGGCCCUGCUUUUGUGGGGUGCUCGAGUGGCGAACGGGUGGGUAACACGUGAGUAACCUGCCCUUGACUUUGGGAUAACUUCAGGAAACUGGGGCUAAUACCGGAUAGGAGCUCCUGCUGCAUGGUGGGGGUUGGAAAGUUUCGGCGGUUGGGGAUGGACUCGCGGCUUAUCAGCUUGUUGGUGGGGUAGUGGCUUACCAAGGCUUUGACGGGUAGCCGGCCUGAGAGGGUGACCGGCCACAUUGGGACUGAGAUACGGCCCAGACUCCUACGGGAGGCAGCAGUGGGGAAUAUUGCACAAUGGGCGGAAGCCUGAUGCAGCAACGCCGCGUGCGGGAUGACGGCCUUCGGGUUGUAAACCGCUUUCGCCUGUGACGAAGCGUGAGUGACGGUAAUGGGUAAAGAAGCACCGGCUAACUACGUG